CAGACCUGUGUGCAGAGCACCAGUUCAGUGCCUGGCAGUGGUAUCUGCUUUCACCUUCAGGUCCUGGCUGCCUCGGAGUGGGUCAGGAAUACCUGUGCCCAUCCGUGCUCUCCCAGCUGGGAAAUUGAGCUAGUGAUGCCCAGAAGAGAUUUUGUGGUGGUAGCAAAGCAGGUGAGCACUGUGGAGAAAAGGGAGCAUCCAGCAUGGGGUGUUAGCAGAAAGGAGUUCAGGAUUGGACCCCUGGGAGGAACUGUGGUGCUCCCCCUGCAAAGCAGCAGCGCUGUAUAGAGAUGCAUCUAUCUCCUGUGCCCUUGUCAGAAGAAACUGUCCAAACCAAAUUAGAAGCGCUGGAGUUGAGAAGAAUCACUGUGAUCAGAGAUCAAUCUGCUUGACCUGCAGCUCUGGCCCAUCCGCAGCCCUCACGUGCUCUUCUCUCUGGACGUGCCCCCAGACAGCAGCUGCUCAGCCUCAGCUCCUGGGCUUCCUGCGAGGAUGUGAGCUCUGCAUCGGCUUUGGGGCUGGGGACUGCAUCCCCACACCAGUUUGCACCACCCCUCACUGCCUUCCCAACACGCCAGCAUUGCUGGAGGAGAUGUCCCCAUCUUUCAGGAGCACUGACUUGUCCUGGUGGAGACCCAGACAGACACACGCGACCCAAUUGCUUCUAGCAGCUGCGGUAAGGAGUUGAGUCCAGGCAGGGCGGCAGGAAACUGCAAUUCCGACAACAAAUAAUCUCAUUUAAAGAAAUCUGUGCUUGCAAAUGGGAAACGCCGAAUCCAUCAGAUAAAUUGUUUGCUCACAAUGCUGCGAGCGAGCACCCAGGGAGCCCCAGUGCCCACACAAAGCGCCACGCUCAGCACAUCCCCUCUCUGAGCACUCAGCACAUCUCCUGCAUGCUGGCAGCUUUGUGAGGGCCGCUGAAAAAUGGCAAAGGAGGGGGAAGGGCAGUGCCUGGGUGAUGGGGGGGUGACUGUCCCUGUCCCUGGGAGCCACCUCGGAGCCUGGCUCAGCUCUGUGUGCUGGGAGAAGCCCCUUGCAGCAGCCGCUGGGUGGUCUGCCUCUUAAUUACAGGGUUCAUGCAAUGGUACUAUCAGGAGAAGUUUCUUAACCUGAUAAUGAGUAGGAAGCAGCUGUAGCUUGGAAAAUGUAAUAAUUGCAGAGUGGAGCAAUGUAAUUAUAAGGUGUGUAUCAACUGCCUCCGUGUUUACUUAGAGGAGACUAAAUCCCCUGCAAAGCAGCAGCGGUGCAGCAGUGGCUCUGCUCUGUGGGGCAGAGGUGGGCAGCAGCAAUGCAGGGCUCAGGCCAGGCUGUGCCCCUACCCAGGCACACACUGUCAGCAGGAAUCCGUCCCCUCUGAGCCCUCCGCUUGCUGUCCCUGGAGGAACCACCCACCCCAGGUCCAAAUGUGCCCCCACUGCCUCCUCCCUCAGCCUCGCUCUGCUCGGUUUCUCCCCCACUCACCUGCACACGAGGCAGAUUUCACUCUGCGGUCUCCACGCCAAAGAAAAUUUCCAUUAGGUGGAAAAACUGCUUCCCUUUCAUGCCCUGAAGGCAGAAUAAGCAGAUGAGUGGAGGAGCGCAUCCCAUACAGAAGUAGCAUGGCUGUGCUGAGCCUUGCUCCCGCUGCACACAGACCACUGCGUGUCUGCUGCAGCCCAUGCUGAAGCUGCGUGCACCAUGACUCCCUC
rnacentral:lncRNA from 1 species